rnacentral:lncRNA from 1 species
GGCUGAUGAGAUUUGCUACUGGUACGUAGAUCGGGACGGCUGAUCAAUGGUCGAGAUUCAUAAUUGUAAGAAGGCAAAUGCGUAAUUUCUAUUCUCUUUAAUAAUUCAUUUAUGCUCUUAGCAAAUCACGAUGCUGAUGUAACACAUGCUAUCUAUGUGAUUUCUAGAAAAAUAUAGAACUAGCUGGCCUUGAACCAGCUUCAAUAGUAGGGAAUGUUUCUUUGUAAAACUUUAGGGCCUGUUCGCUUCAAAGGAUUUGUAGACUUUCCAAAGGAAUGUUCAUUCCAUAGUUUUCAGUUCCUUCACUGGCGUUCGGAUCAAGGGAAUCAGCUACAGCGUUCCUAUGGAAAAGUUCGUAAACAGUGGUCAUUUUACAGGAAUCUAAACAUCUGGUCUGAACCAAUUUUUGGGCGGAGGCCCGAGGCAAGCCAACUCGCAAGCCAAAUAAAAUAUUCCUUUCGCAUGGGUGGGAGAGAAGCAAUACCAGCAUGCAGCGGUUAGAACACUUGGUGCCUGAAUAAAAUACUCAAUACUGUUGCAUCAGUAGUACGGCUCCUUUGCUCAUACCUCUAGACAAUUUCCUGUGAACCGAACACCCUUUAUUCUUCUAUUUUGCGAACUGCAGGAAUGUACUGUACAGCCAACCGCAUUCCUAUACUUUUUUACAUCCCUUUGUUUUUCUUACCUGUGUAUCGAACGGGGCCUUAGUUGGCUCCCAUAUCUUCCAUACUGCAUUUGGGUGCAUGCUUUAUGCAAUUAACAUUAGUUUUUUUGUAUUCAGGGUGCCAUGCCAACAGAGAUAUUUGCAGCAUGAGGAUGGAUAUUGAUCAGUCCUACCAUACCCCUGCAAAUGAGGCUUUGCAUGCUGGGGGUUCUUGUUGGACAUCCACCAAGAGAACCGACAAUUUGGAAAAAGUAAGGAGCUCUGUUCGGUCUCAGGAUGGUUUGCGUGCAUGAGGUCUUGGAACAGUGGCAUCAGACAAUGGUUAAUAGCAGUAAGAUUUUUGAACCAUUGCCGAAGCUGAGGGUGUUGUCUUAUUGUGUAAUGGAUAACCCUCAUUUAGAUCUGGAGUGAGGUGAUAGGAAUAGUAAGCAACAGUAGGAAACCAACGCAAUCUCUUACUAUAUAGUUGUGUGAAGAUGCUCAUCUAUCCUUCAGCAACUGCAAAUUUCUUAAUCCGAUACAAGAACCAGGUCAUAAGCAUUAGUGACACCAUUUAAUUAAGCAAAUGAUCAUGUUUGUACCUUUCAGCUGAGCCAAAGAUUCUAAUAUAUUUCUGUUUAGAAUAGGAAAUGAUUUUUACGCGAGAAACUGCUUUUUGUAGAAAAAAACUUCUGUUAGCAACUAAAUCAAUUUUUUUUUUGCUCGAACAUAAUAAAUCGUAUUAAGAUUGCAUUGUAGACCAUAUGCUCCAUUGCCUGUUGUUAGUGCUUUCAGAAGUACCCCCAGUCUCAUGCUUUUAUGUAGUACAUUGGCUCUACAAUCUACACUGGCUCACUAGCGAGCUGGAAAUGUUUUGUGUAAAUAUAAUGUAGCCUUUGGCUAUUUCUCAAGCAUCAGAAGUGCCAUAGGAUAGAUGGACUGAUAGCCGAAGUUUACUGACGAUGUAGUCCUGGAUCAUGGUGAACUUGUGCUGCCAUUUUGGCUGGAUGUUAUGUGUGCGCACCUGCAUAUCCAAAACAUUAACGUGUGCAUCAAAGGCGCUCGGUCGCGCGUGCCAUGUCAUCAGGUCGAUCGGGUGUGAGGGUUAGCGAGGAGAAAAAACAGAUCGAAAAAAAGAAGAUGGUCGAUUGGGCAGCGGCCAGAUAACGCCUCCACUGCUUUCUCUUCCCCACAAAGCAAACCCUCACCUCCCAGGUUCACACGCAACCUCCGCUCGUCUCCUUGUUUCUCUCCUCCGCCUCUUCCUCCGGGUGUACUUGCGGCUGCAGCGGGAUGGGAGUAAAGGGGGCGAGCAGGAUGGGUGGCCAGCUGAUUUCUUCGAAGGAUCUGGAGCCCAGGGGCGACGCCGGUGAGUAAUCAACCAGUUUCUCAAUCCUUCUUCCCAUCCACUUCUGAUAUGUCAUUAUGCCCAUCUAGCGGAGGACCGGGAGUGGGGGCGAUGGCCAGGCCUGGUGGUGACGGGACGAUUUAGUGGUCGGAGGCGCUACAUCGGAUGCCAGUCAGUCUGCAACGACUCCAGCGCCAGUGUGCCCCUUGGCACCUCCCGCGCCAAGGUCUAUUUCCUUCCUUCCCCUUGCUCCCCUCGCUCCCACCCUCCCUCCCUCCAUUGUUCUGUGUUGGAUUCAUUCAUCAUGGUUGCUGCUCGCUCCUGUUCAUAUUGAUUGGAUCGGGUCGAUGGCUGCCGCAAAUCAUUGGCGUUAGCGUUGACAUCAAUUGGAUCGGUUCUUGCAUGCAAUGCAGGAUCAGAUUUUGCCUUCCGGCUUGUGAAGCAUCUAUCUCUAGGAUCUGUGCCAUGUUACAAAACCUGAACUUGAGUUGUUUUUCAGUUAACUGAAACACACCAGAGAGGUUUCAGACUUUCAGUUGACUCAAGUAAAGUUAAAUUGAUUGACUAUUUGUACAGGUACUCGUUGUGAUUAGGGUAAAUCGUAACAACAGUUUAGCUUUCCAAUUUUCAUCCUUAUAGCUGCAUGAAUUAGCGAAGUAACUGAUUGUUCCUAUUAACCUGAACUGAAGGUUCUUUAUGUGGCACACGCCUGAACUCACUCAAGUUGAUUCGCUGAAAGAAACCUAACUUGUCGGAACAGAUACUGAUUUAGGAAUUCUAGCAUUAGUUUACCUCUAUCCCCUUACCACCGUGGUCGAGUUACAUUGCGGAUUUGAGCUUCAACUGUUCCGAGCUUAUUGAACUCUCAUGCGAUUGAUGCUUGUACGUUCACUGCAUUUCCCCCUUCCUCUCCAUCCGCUCUUGCCUGCCCGUCGUCUCCUUCAUGUCCCAGCCUCUACAUUUUCCCCUUCCUCUCCAUCUGCUCUUGCCUGCCUGUUGUCUCCUUCAUGUCCCAGCCUCUACAUUUUCCCCCUCCUCUCCAUCCGCUCUUGCCUGCCUGUCAUCUCCUUCAUGUCCCAGCCUCUACAUUUUCCCCUUCCUCUCCAUCUGCUCUUGCUUGCCUGUCGUCUCCUUCAUGUCCCAGCCUCUACCAUGUCAUCCUUGCCGACGAGCUCGGCCUCUGUGGCAGCAGCCCCAUGGCCGCCGGUAUGUGGAAUGAGAAUGUCCAGUUGUUCUUCAACACUAACAGAGGUCCCCUGUUCUUUUCCUAUAGAUGAAUGUUUCAUUCAUUGAUAAUUUGCAGUGCAUGUCUAUCAUAAUUCUGUAAUUUAUUUGUUCUUUGGACUAAUGCAUUGGUAUAAAAAUUAACUAUUGAAGUCACAUCUUGGAGACUACUCUGUUCUAGAAUGCAUGAUGGAAGGUACAUGAGAUCGUUAGUUUAUUAUCUGGUCUUUCACACCCAUUGACAGUGAUCUCAUUUGAAGGUUGGAGGGCCGGGUCUCCUCAGAAUCAUUUGAGAUCGUCACACCAGUUUCUUCUAAAGCUGUAUUUGAAGCUAAAAGGAUGGUGCUUCUGUUCUUUGAUUGAUAUUUUAUCCCAGCAUCAUCGGAAACUAACUACUUGAUAUUUUGGUCUGCUAUCUUACCUGUACUUGUCCCUUCAGAUAUAUGGCACUCAUUUUAUUUUAAAAACAAAGUUGAUUUAUUGAGGAGCUGCAGACUAUCUCAGUUUGCAUAUGCUUUUAGUGUCGAAAAUAAUUUAGCCAUGUUUGAAACUGUAGUUAAUAGCUUCAUCUAAAUAUUGAUCUGUUGUGUUAUUGCAGGGAAUAGAUGUGAAAUGCUCAACUUAGGAGGGAGCAUAGACAAGGUAUUCCACACUUCCCAUCCUCCUCCUAUAGCAAAGGAACAUCCAACAUGUCAUGUGUCGCUCACUAACUAAUAAACAGGAAUCUGAAGUUGGAAAGAAACAACUGGAUAUCAAAGCAAAAGUAUCACGUCUCCUCUUAGAAAUCAGCUAACUAUUCUAAUUCUGGAGACUCUUAUGGCCCUAGAUCUGCCAGGCAGUUGCAAUUGUUGCUUUAGUCAAACUAAAAAAUUGUUAACUUUGCAGUGUAAGCGGACCCUUUAGCAGGAGAGCAACACAACUGCUAGCUUCCCUGUAAGUUCAGUGUGUUUCUUAACUGUAAAGAUCAUUUCCUUAUCAAGUCAUUCUCAAUGUGUGUUAUUUCAUUCUGGUGCCUGCAUGCGGCAGUACAGGAGAUGGAUACGAAGUCCGUGGAGGGUCAGAAUACAAAGCUCUACUAGGUGAUGGAGCUGGAGAAGUUGAGUACUUCCAGUCUCUUGACGAACGAAUCAUUAAAUGAAGGUGUUUUGCUGAUACUCUUCAGUUUGGUUGCUCCAUGAUUAAAGCUAAUUGACUUCCUUUUUUAAUUCUCAUGGAGAAAUACAUAUACGUUACUUUCAGUGAUUCCAUGUAGAGUAUAAGAAGCUGAACAUCUUUCUUUGCAGGGAGUUUCUGAUCCUAUUAAAUGUCAUUGCGGACUGGAGUACAAUGUAGAACUAGGCAGGGAUGCCAUGGGUGCAAGAUGAACUCAUUAUAUAGAUGACCACAGGUCCAGUGUGUUUAAAGUAUGCAUAUGUGCGGCUGCCGUAUGUACAGCUUGACAACUCCAUAUAGAGAAACUGGAUAAAGUGCCAGUGCCGCAGGAGCAAAACAGCGCCCCAGAUGAAACCAACACGGAUGACGAUUAACUUCUCUGACCUUAAUCACAUUAAUGAGUGAACUUUCUUGUAAUCCUUUUUCCUGACACUAUAAGGCAAUGGCUUAGCCUGAUAUUUUGGUAGUUGUGUAAGUUGAAACAUGAUGCUAAGCCGAACAAUUUAUUGUCCUUUUUUCGCAUGAUAUCACAUUUUGGUAGUUGUGAAGCCUAAACCAUGAUGCUUUUGCUACUGCUGUAGUCCCUAAUGAAAUUGUGAGAUAAUGUAGUUAAGCUAAGUUUCUUUUGUUUCAAUAAAACAGAUGCUGGUAGUUGCAUAAGUUGAACCAUGAUGCUGGUUAAGCUAAUCUCAUUGAUUGCACUCCCAAAAAUCACAGGAGCCAUUCAGAAAAAGGUAUGGUAGUAUUAGAAAUUGAUCGUGUAAUGUACUGAUUCAGACAGCUGACUAAAAUUUUAAUUGGGACACUACAGAUUAGUAGAGUUCUUUACUGUUGAAAUUUCUGAGGGGAUUUAUGGAAGGUUUGUUUAUCUCUCCUCCCAUUCCAAAUUUCAGUUUAACAUUUCUAGCACUUUCAUUUUUCCUCAAAGUAUUUUUGUCUGCUUUCGUGGUAAGCAUACUAUAGGUAGUAUUCCAUUAUCACUGAUAUUUUAUAGUUAUAGUUGUACUUCUAAUACAGUUUGUACAGAAAUAUGGUUGUUGAGUAGCAUAUUUUCUUAGGGUGUGUCUAGGGCACAUCUAGAUGUGCUCUAGUUAUUGCACAUCUAAGUGAGUGAAUCAAGCAUAAAGAGAAAAAGAAAAAAGAGAAAGAAAAUAUUCAUACGAAUCUUAAUGUAAGAUCAAUGACAUAUGACUUAGAUGUGCAAUACUUAUGGCACAUCUAGAUGUGCUUUAGCAAAACUGAUUUUGUUACUAGAAGGUACUUGUGUUCCCAUUGAAUGAACUCAAUGCUUAUUUUUUGUUCACAAGCUCCAAUAUGGAAACAAAGUAUGUUGUGGGGAGUGGGAUGUACUACAAACUGAUCUAAAAUAAAGAAAGAGCAAUCUUUGGGUGACAAUUAGAUUCAUGAUGCAGACUCAAUGCAGAUUGUCUUUCCUUUCCAUUUGUUUCUUAUUCUUGUCAUCUGACGUUAUAUGCUUUUGUCUUGAAUUACAUGGAAGGUCAAGAUGACCUCACACAUACAUGUUUCUUUUGUUAUGUUUAUUAAUGUAUGGAUGCCUACUGACCCUAAAUAUAAUUGGUUAAAAUGUUUCCCAAUGAAGUUUCUAUGCUAUAUAAGAAAGUUGGUCUGAAAUAUUUGAAGUCAUAUUCUAUUUUACAGGUUACUCGUAUAGUUUCAUAGCUGAUUCAGUUGCAUUAGUUCAGAACAAGUGUUUGUAUCUAAAGCAAAGAUAGCAUAUUUGUCUAUAUUUAGAUAACUGUAUAUAAGUGUCAUUAAGGAUUAUAAGCAAGAUAAGUGCGCCCGGGACCGCCUCAAGAGACGCGCCCUGGGCGCAUCCCAACCACUAGUAUUUACUAUAUGUGCCUGAGUCGGGAAACAUUUGCUGGCCACUGGUCAGAUAUUUUUCUACCACAUGUAACAAUGGACACGAUGAUUGAACCCUCUUAGACGCACCUUGCAGUAGGAUAUAUGGUUGAUGAGAACCGUCGGGAUGUCAUUUUCAAACUCCCAGAGUUUUUUUGGUGACAUGGGUACAGGCCCUCUGUAUGUCUUCAGGGAUCUGUCCCGCAAGGUAGUGAUCAAGAUAGUUGUGGAGAUCCUAGGAUGCUUUGGCUGGUUAUGUACACGAUAGCGUUGAUUCCUUUUGUGAAAUACGCAUCUAUAGGGCAGAAAGCUAAUGAUAAUGGUGAAGGUAAAAUUUGCAAAGCUGCAUCCGUAAGAGAUAGACACAUAGCCAAAACUGCUUCCGUAAAUAAUGGUUUUAGUUCCAAAGUAUGCAAAUGAUUUUGCUACAUUGGAACUACAACACACUGCUGACAUGCUAUGUUUCUAUCUCUUGGGAGAGGCAGUGAAAUAUAUUAGUUGACUACUCUGUUAAUUUACAAGUAUGUUGCUUGAGGUAACCAUGGCACUAUUCAGACUGAAAUUCAUUUUAUUGCAGAUCACAGGACGAUAUUUCGGGAGUCUAAUGAUCACGGUGCAUUUGGUACAGCAGAGGACCAUAUUUUUGACUGAUUUCAUAUGUUCUACAAAAUUAUAUAUUGGUUAUUCCUUGUUAUUGCGAAUUUAUCUUAUACUAUGUUAGAGACGAUGCUUAUAACUUUAUCAACAAAUAAACCCUUGCGCAGACUGUUCUUCAGGUUCAGUGUUCAAAUUGUUGAAAAGUAAGGUCUAGAUCUGCAGAGUUUGGGUGUUUCUCCUCAUGUGUACAUUCCAUAAAAUGCAUUCGCAUAAAGCAUAGCUCAUAUAAUUCAUCCUGUACAGGAAAGGGAAAGUUGGAUGAUUUAGAGUUGUGUGAAAAUUAUUUCUCUGUUUCACCAUUUUGUUUCUUUCUUAACUCUCACUUGCUCUAUUUUCCAAUCGUAUACUUUUCUUUUGUAUUAUUGUACUAAACGCAGGUUGUUUGUCUAUCACAGAUAUUGAUGGCUUGGGAAAUCAUAUGGCGAUAGGGUCUGAUGAUGUCUGAUGAAGGAAUAGUCACAAGCAGAGAUGGCCUAAAGGCUCUUGGAUACAACUGUUCUUUUAGUAUGCCAUUGACGGACAUAAGUCGAUGUUUUCAGUCAGGAUGAGCUUUGAUUCUAAAUGAUAUUAGAUAUGCACUCAUGUACUUUCUACACGAUUUUUCUUUGGUUUAUUCAGUCUCUUGGGGUGCUCAUAGAAGUAGGGUUGCGUAUGUUCAUACGCUUGUUGUGAGGGUCUUCGUCUGUAUAAGUGUUUCUAAAUAGACUUAAGUUUAUUAAAUUCCAUAUAGGUAAUCCUUAUUAUUGAAUAAUAGUAUUAUUUGAAAGGGUUCAUUUUCUACUCUUUCUGGAAGGAUAUACCAACGACAAGGACUAAGUGGCGCGGCAAAGCGUGCGUGCCCUUCUAGUCUAUGUUACUAAGCUCCCUAGGAUUGAAGGUCUCUUAUUCAGUUAAGGACUUUGAUUUUGAUUAGAUGUCCAAUUUUGACUUGGUCUUAGGCAUGGCCUUCUCUCGAUGGAUGGGUCCCCAUGGUGUAAAUCGA